GACGGAGGAUGCAAGCGUUAUCCGGAAUGAUUGGGCGUAAAGCGUCCGCAGGUGGCAGUUCAAGUCUGCUGUCAAAGACCGGGGCUUAACUUCGGAAAGGCAGUGGAAACUGAACAGCUAGAGUAUGGUAGGGGCAGAGGGAAUUCCUGGUGUAGUGGUGAAAUGCGUAGAUAUCCGGAGGAACACCAGUGGCGAAGGCGACUUCCUGGCCUGUUCUUGACGCUGAGGCGCGAAAGCUGGGGGAGCAAACGGG
rnacentral:rRNA from 1 species